rnacentral:rRNA from 1 species
CGGCCGCGUCGACCGGGGAGGUAGUGACAAUAUGUAACAAUAUACGGCCUUAUACGUCGUAUAAUUGGAAUGAGUACGAUUUAAAUCCCUUAACGAGGAACAAUUGGAGGGCAAGUCUGGUGCCAGCAGCCGCGGUAAUUCCAGCUCCAAUAGCGUAUAUUAAAGUUGUUGCAGUUAAAAAAGCUCGUAGUUGGACCUUGGACCUGGACAGGCGGUCCGCCUCACGGCGAGUACUGUCUUGCUGGGUCUUUCCUCUUGGUGAUCUGUUGUUUCGGCAGCAGGGAACCAGGACCUUUACUUUGAAAAAAUUAGAGUGUUCAAAGCAGGCUCGACGCCGGAAUAUAUUAGCAUGGAAUAAUAAAAUAGGACGUGCGGUUCUAUUUUGUUGGUUUUGGAAUCGCCGUAAUGAUUAAUAGGGACAGUCGGGGGCAUUAGUACUCACAUGCUAGAGGUGAAAUUCUUGGAUUUUGUGAAAGUCUAAACUUCUGCGAAAGCAUUUGCCAAGGUAUGUUUUCAUUAAUCAAGGAACGAAGGUUAGGGUAUCGAAAACGAUUAGAUACCGUUGUAGUCUUAAACG